rnacentral:rRNA from 1 species
UUCCAGACUCCUACGGGAGGCAGCAGUGGGGAAUAUUGCACAAUGGGGGAAACCCUGAUGCAGCGACGCCGCGUGAGUGAGGAAGUAUUUCGGUAUGUAAAGCUCUAUCAGCAGGGAAGAAAAUGACGGUACCUGAGUAAGAAGCCCCGGCUAACUACGUGCCAGCAGCCGCGGUAAUACGUAGGGGGCAAGCGUUAUCCGGAUUUACUGGGUGUAAAGGGGGCGCAGACGGCGAUGCAAGCCAGGAGUGAAAGCCCGGGGCCCAACCCCGGGACUGCUCUUGGAACUGCGUGGCUGGAGUGCAGGAGGGGCAGGCGGAAUUCCUGGUGUAGCGGUGAAAUGCGUAGAUAUCAGGAGGAACACCGGUGGCGAAGGCGGCCUGCUGGACUGCAACUGACGUUGAGGCCCGAAAGCGUGGGGAGCAAACAGGAUUAGAUACCCGUGUA